rnacentral:rRNA from 1 species
AUUCCAGCUCCAAUAGCGUAUAUUAAAGUUGUUGCAGUUAAAAAGCUCGUAGUUGAAUUUCUGUACAGUCCCAGUUCUGGCUUCGGUCUAGCUGUGGAUUGUGCAUCCGCUUGCAAAUCUAGCUCGGCCUUCACUGGUCGACUAGGGGAGUAAGCCCUUUACUUUGAAAAAAUUAGAGUGUUUCAGGCAGGCAAUGGCUCGAAUACAUUAGCAUGGAAUAAUGGAAUAGGACUUUUGUCCAUUUGGUUGGUUAUUGGACAUGAGUAAUGAUUAAAAGGGACAGUUGGGGGCAUUAGUAUUUAAUAGUCAGAGGUGAAAUUCUUGGAUUUAUUAAAGACUAACUUAUGCGAAAGCAUUUGCCAAGGAUGUUUUCAUCA